rnacentral:tRNA from 1 species
AUUUAUUUAGUUUAAUAAAAACACUUCACUUUCAAUGGAGAGAUGAGAAAACAAACUCUUUAAAUA